rnacentral:lncRNA from 1 species
GUGGAGGAAGGAACAAGCGAAUGCAGUUUAUGCCGUCCCUAUAGCUAGCAUAACGCUUCUGGCGACGUCAAAUUAUGAUAACGGACAAACUUGCAAGACAUUUUCAUUAAUCCGUAUUUUUUAUAGAUAACCCUGUAAUGUUAAUGCUAUUUGGUGUACCAACUUCAACUUUAAAAGUACUUUUUAUUGGUAUGGUUAUCAAA